GAUGGAUGUGAGAAAUCAGAAAAAUGAAGCCUGAACACUCUGAGGGUCCACUGACUUUGAAGUUGAGGAAGGAGGAUCACAAGUUCAAGCCCAGACGGGGCAUCUUGGGGGUGGUUCAAGAUGUAGCUCAAUGAUCCUGGUUCAGUACUCAGAAGCACAGGAGUGGGAGGGACGACUGUGGAAGGAAGGCUGACGAUAAGCCCCGCCGCUUGUCCGUCAUUAGCUGAGAUCAGCAAAUGCCCAGCAUGCUACAGCGCAUGGCAGGUCUGUGUGGUACCCAGUCUCUCUGGGAAGCUACAAAUGAAGAAACUGAGGCUUAGAUCAAUUGUCCCAAAGUGGAGGAUCUGGGAUUCAAGUCCAUGUCUUUGAGUCCCUUGUUCUAUGACCUGUAGUUGCUUCUGUAUGGUCUCUUGGCUCCAUCCUGUUUCCAUAUUUGAAAAG
ensembl:lncRNA